GAUGAACGCUGGCGGCGUGCUUAACACAUGCAAGUCGAACGAAGCACUUUAUUUGAUUUCCUUCGGGACUGAUUAUUUUGUGACUGAGUGGCGGACGGGUGAGUAACGCGUGGGUAACCUGCCUUGUACAGGGGGAUAACAGUUGGAAACGGCUGCUAAUACCGCAUAAGCGCACAGCAUCGCAUGAUGCAGUGUGAAAAACUCCGGUGGUAUAAGAUGGGCCCGCGUUGGAUUAGCUAGUUGGUGAGGUAACGGCCCACCAAGGCGACGAUCCAUAGCCGACCUGAGAGGGUGACCGGCCACAUUGGGACUGAGACACGGCCCAAACUCCUACGGGAGGCAGCAGUGGGGAAUAUUGCACAAUGGGCGAAAGCCUGAUGCAGCGACGCCGCGUGAGCGAAGAAGUAUUUCGGUAUGUAAAGCUCUAUCAGCAGGGAAGAUAAUGACGGUACCUGACUAAGAAGCACCGGCUAAAUACGUG
rnacentral:rRNA from 1 species